rnacentral:ncRNA from 1 species
UCUCGAUAAAGGCAAACCUGGUGAAAACCAGCGACGCAAAGCUACAGGGGCUACCGACUCUAGUGAUCACACAUGAGUCCACGCCAGCCAGUUACCGAA